GUUCCCUGAGAGUGGGUAACUUGAACGAGGGAGAAGUCCGAAAAGGAAAAGUGUGAAAACGGGAUUUAUAGGACGAUAUUGUGUUAUUCUUUCACACAAAUAAGCGCCUAGCUGGAACGGGAACAAGCUCUUCCGGUGUUUUCGUAUGGAGGAUAUGAAGGAGAGGAAAGUGUUUCUGUUCAAAUGAAGGCUCACGGCUGAACAUGAAAAUAAAGGACACUAAGAAACCUCAGACAGACAGACAGGUCUACACCUCCACUGCUUCAUCAAGUGUACAGCAGGAGGGUGAAAUCAGCUUUAGAUCAGUCUGUAGAUGUGAUUUAAGCUAUAAUGAGCUAUAGUCCACCCUUCUUUCAUACAUGGCAGAAUGGAACCACCACCACCAUCAUCAUCCCCCAUCACCACCACCAUCACCCCACCAUCAGCACCACCAUCAGCACCACCAUCAGCACCUCCGCCUCCUCCACACCACUCGCAAAUGAUGUAUCUGAUGAUGUAUAUUUGGCCGCCCCCCGGAGCUCACGGGAGGCCCCCCCAGGGGCCAUCGGCUCGGCCCACGACCCGCUGCCCGGGAGUCCGGGGAGAGAGAAAAAGAAAACCGGCAAAGUACGAGCUCCGGCCAUCGCCGCACGCCCAGUCACGGAGCACCGCAGCCCGGGCCGGGCCGUCGGAGGCCGUCGGCUCAGCCCACGACCGGCUGCCCGGGAGUCCGGGGCCACAUUGGCUCUGGGAGGAACCAAACCAUCGUCACGCAGCAAAGAAACCUACAUACAGGCAUUAUCUGCUUUGCCCAUUUUGUCUUAAAACACAAGAGACCCUGUCAUGCCAUCUGCGGAGGGCAUGCUUGAAGAACAGGACUGAAGCAGCCAUCGAAGCCGUGGUUGAAAAGGCCAAGUUGGACGUUGUGGACCUCCUGAAGAAUGGCAGGGCUUUUAGUUAUGCAGUUAUUAAAUUAUGGCAGAUGCAAAUCCAAUCCAAAGGCACCAUCCCUGCAGUUUGUCAAUGACAGAGAGAAUAUCGGACAGUACCUCGGUGACCUCUCUGAGGCAAAAAUGAAAAAGAGAACACAGCAGAACUACCUCAAGAGCUUGAAACGAUUCUCGGUUUUCCUCACUGUCCAAACCAACCUGAGAAAUGAGGAUUUGCCACUCCAUAAAGAGUGCCAGCACUUCAUUGCCUUCAAUGAUUCUUUGCAGCACAUCCUUGCCAAGCACUCAAAGAAAGAGAUCACCCAAAAGAGGCACAGCAUGUUGAUUGACGUGUUGUCAACAAAAAACUGCUUGGUUGUACUGGAGGCUGCCAAGAAGGAAUUCUUGGCAGUUAUAGGUAAACUGUCUGACAGUAGUUCUGACACCCUGGAGUCUGUCCAGAACAUAUUUGUGGUGUACUACCUCGAGGCUGUAGUACAUCUACAACCUCCAACGACCGGGCGUGGUGGAGCACAUGACUGUCAGGGAGUGGCUUUCCAGGAGAAAAUGUGAUUCACAUUCCAUAAUUGGGGUAAAGGAGCACAAGACAGCAGCACAGCAAGUGGCCGUGUUUACCCUGUCAGAGGAGGAGGAGCAUUGGUUGGAUGUGUACUACAGACUGGUGCGGCCACAGCUCCUGAGACCCACCAGGAAACGCAAGAGGGAUGUGGAGGACGAGAUGGAUGGAGAAGAAAGAUUCUUCCUUUCCACUGCAGGGAGGCAGAUCCACAGUGCCUCCAAGGACCUGCACCGGUUGCACACAAGGCACAACCUCCCGUCAGUGACCAGCCAGAUGGCACGCAGAGUCUUUGAGACGGCAGCUAAGAGCCUGACAGAUUCUGAAAAAUCAAUGGUGGCCGAUUACCUGACCCAUUCCAGCGCAACAGCGGAGAAGCAUUACCGCGUUAAGACGAGUGGACAUGCUGUGACGGCUGCUGAGAUUAUGAAGGACAUGGGUGGUGUCUCAAGUUCUGAUUCUUCUGGGGAGGAUGCCAUCCCGGAACCUUCUGGGGAGGGUACCAGCUUUGAGUCUUCUGGGGAGAGUACCAGCCGUAGUACCUGUAGCACUGCCGGUUCUGCUACUGCUGUCAGAUCUUCGUCAGAAUCGGAAAAGGAAAUUCAGGCGUCAUUUCAAAUCCUACUUAUACGAAAUAUCCCGUGACAAUUGAUGGGCCAAAACCAAAACGGGAACUUCUAAAGGGUGUGUCUUGUUGGCGAAAGUUUUAUGAGCGUUGGGAGAAGAGGCAGUUGAAACUGCGACAAGAAUGUGUCCACUGAAACUUCCCUUGGCGUCAGCCAACACAUAACCGGCUCGAAGAAUGUGUUGCAAAGCAGGCAUGGGCCGGUAAAACUGGUAGCCAACGACUUCUUGUGAGGAGGACUCCCGUAGUCUGCCAGGCAUCAGCCUUCAGACAUUCUGUUGCAUGUCCCAGACCUGGUGAAAUGUAACUGAAUUGUCUUGGCCAGCUCUGCCUCGAUCUUCAUCUGAAUUCAGUGUAGCCAAAUUCAGAUGAGGGAUUUACUUGGGGGGUGCACCAGGGUCGGGGCUGAGCCGGGGAAGGUGUCUCCAUGUUCCUGUGACGGAGCCCCCGUCCCCGGGACCGCAUCAUGUCCCCCUGUGUAGCCGAAUUCAGAUGAGGGAUUUUGGAUAAAAAUGUGUGAAUGAGAGCCGUGGCUGUGUCCCCCGGAUGAUUUUACGACUUGGGGAGUGCACCGGGGUCGGGGCCAAGCUCCUGUGACGGAGCCCCCGUCCACGGGACCGCAUUAUGUCCCCCCAGAUGAGCGAUUUCGGAUAAGUGACGUCGCGAUUAACAAGACGAAAUAACGUUAUAACAUUACGUCUUGUUUUGGUCAACGAAAAUGAAGAGACAUUUUAGCAUAUUUUUUAUUUUGUAAACCACAUUUAGUCACGUUUUUAUUCGUUUACAAUAAUGCAUUAUAUAUUUAAUUAACGUUAUCGUCACAUGACCAGCAUUUACGUUGCGUCUCGUCUCAUUUUUAUCACGGCGAGGAGGGUGAAGAGGAGGAAAGGCUUCUGCUAUCGGGUGUUAAAGAUGACUUCUAAACAGCACGGGCAGCUACUGAUGAAUUGUCUUGUAUAGCAUUGGCCCCAGCACUGGUCGUCGCCUUUUGGUGUCGAGGCAUAGUUCAUCUGUCGGACGAUCUCUGCGAAGCAGUGUCAGAGCUUUGGUGCUGUCACAUGCUGUUCCCGAUUUCUGGGAUCUCGCUCUUUCCUUCUCUGGCACGACUGUGACUGAAGCAGUGUCAGAGGGAUUCGAAGUCGGGUUACUUUUCUCUCUCUCUCUUUCGCGACCCGUGUUUCCCAUUCUCCCUCCUGCUGUACACUUGAUGAAGCAGUGGAGUGGUAGACCUGUCUGUCUGAGUUUGAAUCGACGGCAGGGAUGAGGCGCCGUCGCUAUACACUGAGCUAUCUGACGCUCAAUAUUCUUGCAUGUCACGGAUUGCUCCGUUCUAAUUUCAUUUGACAGAGCGAAGAAGUCUGUCUCUCCUUCUCUGGCACGACUGUGACUGAAGCAGUUUCCUCCCUCUCUCUUUCUCUUUUUUACACUUAAUGAAGCAAGUGUUGCAGGAAGGAGUCAAACCCGGGUCCACGCCGGCGCUAUUCAAUGAGCCAGCCGAUGCCCAGGUCAUAUCUUUGUUGGCCUUGUCUAGGUUGUGCUUUUUCUGUAAAAACAAUUUGUAGGCCACUUUCAUGCUUUAUUGAUAUUGCCAUCUGGUAUGGUGCUGUCACAUGCUGUGUCAGAGGGAAUUCUGGGAUCUUCAGAUGCUCCCGAACCCGGGUCUCGCUCAAACCCGGGUAACAUUUUGUGAAAUCCUAUGAUUGGUUUUCUUUGCCCAGAGUCAGAUGAAAAAGAUUGAAUAGGAUGCUCGGUUGGUAAACAUGAAGGUGGACACGAGUAGUUUAGCUUUAGGACCGGAAACGAGAGAAACAGUGACUCGAGUCCGGGUCCACGGCAGCGGGGGCGCCGGCGCUAUUCACUGAGUUAUCCGACGCCCAAUAAUCUUGCAUUUCACGGUUUGCUCUGUUCUUAUUUCAAAUGAUAGAGCGAAGAAGUCUGUCUCUCCUUCUCUGGCACGACUGUGACUGAAGCAGUGUCAGAGGGAUUCAAAGCUGGGUUGCUUUCCUCCCAAACCCGGGUUUUCCAUCCUCCUCUCUCCUUCUGCUUUACACUUAAUGAAGCAAGUUUUUCAGGAAGGAUUCGAACCCGGGUCCACGCCGGCGCUAUUCACUGAGCUAGCCGACGCCCAGGUCAUGUCUUUUGUUCGCCUUGUCAAGGUUGUGCUUUUUCUGUAAAAAAAAUUCGUAGGGCACUUUCAUGCUUUAUUGAUAUUGCCAUCUGAUCAAUUGACAGAGCGAAGAAGCCUGUCUCUCCUUCUCUGGCACGACUGUGACUGAUGCAGUGUCAGAGGUGUCUCAUUCGAACCCGUGUUUCCCAUUCUCCCUCCUUCUGCUGUACUCUUAAUGAAGCAGUGCUGAAGGAAGGAUUCACUGAGCUGGCCGACGACCAGGGGUUUGUUUUCUCAAUGCCGUUUUCGUUCUCUAAAAGGGGAGGGAGCGGGGAGGACAUUCAAGUGGACUUGUUGGGAGUUGAACCCUUGUCCACGGCAGGAGGACAGCCUUUGUUCUUACUUUGUCACACAGGUUGGACUGGACCUCCAUGUGUUGUUGUUUCCAUCAGCGAUGGAACUACUGUGACUGUAGUGGGACCUUAGUUGCAGUUCAGUUCAGUUUAGUUUUCAAGCAAGUGAUGCAGGAAGGAGUCGAACCCUGGGUCUUGCCCAGUGGAGGGUACUGUCUGUCUGGGGGCCCUUGCUUUGAAUUUGCCCCGACCCUGGCCCAUCCCCAGAGUCCGGAAGUCACCGCGGGGACACAGCCAUGGUUCUCAGUCAGACAUCAUGCCAUUGUACAUUGAGUUUGAAAAAAAUAGGCAGGACUUCACCUCUAGAUUCCUGCAAGUAAUCAAUUCACCAAAGGUUCUCUGGCAAUGUAUUUGUCUUUGCAGAGACAGAACAUUCUUUUUGAAAGCAAAACGUUGUCACAUACCACAGACUACAGUAUUUUUCUGUACUAAUGGAGCAGUGUGAUGUCGCAAUAUCAUUUUUCCAAACAAACAGGGGACUUCAGUCAUUAUGCAAAAUCAAAGUGGGGACAUCUGUCAGGGCUCAAUGUUCAAUACUACAUUUUACACAUAAGCCUCUUUUCCAUAGACAUAAUAUGCAGCUUGAAUUGAGUCGGUUUUACUUGGCGUGUCGGCCCAUCACAGCAUCUAGCUUAAUUACCAUUAUAACAGGGCUAACUGCUAGGUGUGUUUUCAGUUGCAUGGAUUUUUCUUGACAGGAUAAUCAGAUAGAUACAAAGUUCAACCCUGAACUUGUAGAAACUAGUGUGGAGUGAAAGUUUAGUCAAUUUGCAGUAAUCUGUCCAAAGCCGGCAUCCUUCAUUUCUCUCAUUGUCUGAAUACACAAAACAGGGAUGCACUGUUCAUCACACCUAUACCAAUGGCACCUUAUAAAGAAAACAUUAUUGUACUCUAUGGUGCUGAACUAUCCAAAUAGAACCGAGAUUAUUCAUAAAACAGCAGGCAAACUAGCAAUGAUGCAUUUAGAGGCAAAGGUUUCAAAUCACCUGCAAAGUUAGAAGCAGUGACAAAUUUACAGAGACGGGGUUUGGUUACUUAGGAUGAAUUAAGAAUAUUUUAUCAAUAUUUGAGAAGUAGGCUAAAUAGAAGACAUCUCAUCAUUGUGUACCCCUGAUCUUAUUGUAGUGAAGAGCUUAUAUACACAUACAUUAACUUUACUAUAUAGAGUUUGAACUGCAGAUAUAUUUUGAUUUGAAAAAUAUAUAUUUGUCAUUAUAGUUAUCAUUCUUGAUGUUGAAGGCACAUUAUCCAUUGUAUCUCAUCCACUGUACCUCCUUCCAUUUUGUGUGGAUAGGCUUAAUGGCCAUCAUCAGCUACAGGUAACCCUCCCCCAUACUGCAGACAGUUAAGGUCUGGCACAGAUUCACACUGUUUCAAGUUACUCACUUCUCAGACGCACAAAAAAGAUAUUAUUUUCUACGAAUUGGACUCAUGUUCAAGGUUUUCAUUGUAAAGUGUUUAAUGUAACAAUAAAAUUGCAAGAGAGCUUUAAAAAUUGUUUUUAUGAACAUUUAUUGUAGUUUUAAAAUGCUCAAAAGGGACAUCACCAUCAGUGUCAGUGAUUACAUUAGUCUGGUUGCACCAACUUUACAGAUCAUGGUAGCACCAACUUUAGAGGACAGAGUCUUUCAAGCCCUGGGCUAUCACAUGUAAAAAUAGAUCAUUUCCCCAAGGAGUUAAAUGAACCUUGUCACGAAGGAAGAGCUGAGGAUGAUCAAACACAAUUUGUGGAUGGUGUAGAGUCCUCCCAUUAACAGACAAAAUAAAGGUUGCCAUCACACUGUC